AUCCACUGACUCACACCUGCCUCUCUGCUUGUCCAGAGAGGUACAGAGAAGUAAUGACUUGGACUUGAGGAAGGCCCUUGUAGGACAUGUGAAUGCCAGUGCUCAUGGAGAAAGGUGGAGGAAGAGAGCCAGAGUGCAGUUCACCUCUGGGAGAGCAGACCAGAGUGGCUUCCGUGGGCACAUGCUGGAUUGAAGUGAGAAGACGUGACUACUAAAGUUGAGGCCCCAAGUCUCAGCUUCUUCCCCCUCCAAAGCAUGAGUGGAGGAUUCACUUAAGGCCACUUUGAAGCCCAUAUUGGAGGAGCAUUACUCACUCUGAGGAUCCUGGCAUAGGCAGAUGCAUCACUUGUAUUGAAGUAUAUUAUCUGCUGUGAUAUUUAUGAUGAAAUGAGUUUGCCAGCCAUCGUCUAUCAGGUGAUUUGCUCUUGAACAAUUAACAGAGUGAAGGCUGUGUUCCAUCUCCUCACAGUCUCCCGCUGGGCAUCCUUGGGAGCACAGGAGGAGAAAGGCUUUCUUCUUGAUCCUAUUACUGCUGCCCAGCAUCAAGAAGGAUUAAUUAACCCACCAGGUUUUGCUUCAUUACGAGGAAAAAAGAAAAGCCAGUGACAGUGGAAUUCAAACAUUGAACAGGCAAAGGAAUCAGUGCUCAAGCACCUUAUGAACAUUUCGAAGACUUAGCUGGGCGGUGUGGCGCAAUGUAAAGUAGGGUGACUUGGUGCAAGUUACACACCCCUGCAGCCCUGUUUCUUCAUCCUCAGAGUUCACACUUCAAUUCUACAAAUUGAUGGCCUAUUCUGAGCUAAGCCCCGCCCACUCUGAACUAAGCCCCGCCUACUUUGAUUCCCUACUCUGAGCUAAGGAACAGUCUUUCAUCCCCAUGAAAGCUUUCUGUCUAGAAGGAACUAAAGAGCAUAAUUAUACUUAUUUUCCAGUGCUGUUGUUAGAAUUAAUUAAAUGUGGUAUAGCAUGUGAAAGUACUCUGUAACUAAACAUUGUAUAAAUGUUAAUUAUUCUCAUUUUCAUAUUUGAUAUUCAGGCAUUCAAACAAUUAUUGAGCACUUAUUAGGGCAAAGAACUAUACUUGCAGCUAACAGUUACGUGAAAGAAUUCGAAGACAUUGUUUUUGCUGUUUAGGAAGGUCCCACAUGGCAAAGCAAUUAAGACACACACAUGAAAUAAUUAAACAACAAAGUUGGGCCUAAAGAAGUUUCAUCUCACGUGCUAAUCAUGGCUGGCUGGCUAUGGCUAUCUAGAGUAUUAUGCUGAAAAUGAUUCUGAAGCUCUUUCUGGGCUCAAUUGAAAAGGAUGAUCUGGUGGAUUAGCAAUGAAUGCCAUGGGCAUAAGUUGGGCAUGUAGUGGUACGUGGACUAGUUGUUUAUAGUGCCUAAUACAAGGUAGCAAACAUAAUGAUAAAAGUAACUGUUAUUGAAAUUCAGCCAAGAUUGGUAUCAGUGUAGGCUUGUAUGACUGACAAAGAAUGUAGAGGAGCUAAAGAGUAAGCUUGACCUUGAAUUACGAGUAGGACUUCAGUGAAGAUAGGAGGCUAUUUCAGAAUGCAGGGCAUCUGGUAGGGAGUAGUGGAUGGUGGAGAGUAAGGAACUCAGUACUUGAUUCAAAGCCUGGGUCUCCCAGAAGUGAGCUGUGUGGCUUGGGCCACUUUAUCUCCUGAGGUCUCAGAGUUUUCAUGUAUAAAAUUGUAGAACUUGUCUUGAUGGUUUUGAACAUUCUUUCUAAUUCUGCACAACAGUCCAUUUGUGGGUUAGAUGAGCCUUUACCAAACUGUAUUUCAUGGAACAAUG
rnacentral:lncRNA from 1 species